rnacentral:rRNA from 1 species
UGGGGAAUUGUUCGCAAUGGGCGCAAGCCUGACGACGCAACGCCGCGUGGAGGAUGAAGAAUUUCGGUUCGUAAACUCCUGUCGAGCGGGACGAAAGAUGCGCGGGUUAAUACCCCGCGCAAGUGACGGUACCGCUAAAGGAAGCCCCGGCUAACUCCGUGCCAGCAGCCGCGGUAAUACGGGGGGGGCAAGCGUUGUUCGGAAUUACUGGGCGUAAAGGGCUCGUAGGCGGCCAACUAAGUCACACGUGAAAUCCCUCGGCUCAACCGGGGAACUGCGUGUGAGACUGGAUGGCUUGAGUUUGGGAGAGGAAUGCGGAAUUCCAGGUGUAGCGGUGAAAUGCGUAGAUAUCUGGAGGAACACCGGUGGCGAAGGCGGCAUUCUGGACCAACACUGACGCUGAGGAGCGAAAGCCAGGGGAGCAAAC